rnacentral:rRNA from 1 species
UACGGGGGGGGCAAGCGUUGUUCGGAAUUACUGGGCGUAAAGGGUCUGUAGGUGGCUUGCUAAGUCAGACGUGAAAUCCCUCAGCUUAACUGGGGAACUGCGUCUGAGACUGGCGAGCUUGAGUGCAGGAGAGGAACGCGGAAUUCCAGGUGUAGCGGUGAAAUGCGUAGAUAUCUGGAGGAACACCGGUGGCGAAGGCGGGCACCUGGGCCAACACUGACGCUGAGGCGCGAAAGCUAGGGGAGCAAACAGG